rnacentral:rRNA from 1 species
GACGAACGCUGGCGGCGUGCUUAACACAUGCAAGUCGAACGGAAAGGCCUGCUUUCCCUUGUGGAUUGCGGGUACUCGAGUGGCGAACGGGUGAGUAACACGUGAGUGAUCUGCCCCCAACUUGGGUAUAAGCCUGGGAAACUGGGUCUAAUUCCCGAUAGGACUGCAGGGUGGUGCCUGUGGUGGAAAACGAUUUUCUAGUGGUUGGGGAUGAGCUCGCGGCCUAUCAGCUUGUUGGUGGAGUAAUGGCCUACCAAGGCGGCGACGGGUAGCCGGCCUGGGAGGGUGGACGGCCACAUUGGGACUGGGAUACGGCCCAGACUCCUACGGGAGGCAGCAGUGGGGAAUAUUGCACAAUGGGCGGAAGCCUGAUGCAGCGACGCCGCGUGGGGGAUGACGGCCUUCGGGUUGUAAACUCCUUUCGACCGCGAGGAAGCCACCUGGUUGGAAGGGUGGUGACGGUAGUGGUAGAAGAAGCACCGGCUAACUACGUG